rnacentral:tRNA from 1 species
GUGGAUGUAGUUUAACGGCAGAAUGCCGGCAGAGCCGGUGGAACAGGUUCGACUCCUGUCGUCCGCC